rnacentral:rRNA from 1 species
CAAUAGCGUAUAUUAAAGUUGUUGCAGUUAAAAAGCUCGUAGUUGAAUUUUUGCUUGCCGCCGAUGUCGGAACUUCCGUACGUUCGGCGGCGUGCAUCCUUGGGUGGAACCUGUGUGGCAUUAGGUUGCCGUGCAGGGGAUGCUCAUCGUUUACUGUGAAAAAAUUAGAGUGUUCAAAGCAGGCUUACGCCGUUGAAUAUAUUAGCAUGGAAUAAUAAGAUAGGACCUUGGUACUAUUUUGUUGGUUUGCGCACCGAGGUAAUGAUUAACAGGGACAGUUGGGGGUAUUCGUAUUCCAUUGUCAGAGGUGAAAUUCUUGGAUUUCUGGAAGACGAACUACUGCGAAAGCAUUUACCAAGGAUGUUUUCAUUAA